GAUGAACGCUGGCGGCGUGCCUAAUACAUGCAAGUCAAGCGAACGGACGAGAAGCUUGCUUCUCUGAUGUUAGCGGCUGACGUGUGAGUAACACGUGGAUAACCUACCUAUAAGACUGGGAUAACUUCGGGAAACCGGAGCUAAUACCGGAUGAUAUUUUGAACCGCAUGGUUCAAAAGUGAAAGACGGUCUUUCUGUCACUUAUAGAUGGAUCCGCGCUGCAUUAGCUAGUUGGUAAGGUAACGGCUUACCAAGGCAACGAUGCAUAGCCGACCUGAGAGGGUGAUCGGCAACACUGGAACUGAGACACGGUCCAGACUCCUACGGGAGGCAGCAGUAGGGAAUCUUCCGCAAUGGGCGAAAGCCUGACGGAGCAACGCCGCGUGAGUGAUGAAGGUCUUCGGAUCGUAAAACUCUGUUAUUAGGGAAGAACAUAUGUGUAAGUAACUGUGCACAUCUUGACGGUACCUAAUCAGAAAGCCACGGCUAACUACGUG
rnacentral:rRNA from 1 species